rnacentral:rRNA from 1 species
GUGAGGAAUAUUGGUCAAUGGGCGGGAGCCUGAACCAGCCAAGUCGCGUGAAGGAAGAAGGAUCUAUGGUUCGUAAACUUCUUUUGCAGGAGGGUAAAGUGAGCUACGUGUAGUUCAUUGCAAGUACCCUGCGAAUAAGCAUCGGCUAACUCCGUGCCAGCAGCCGCGGUAAUACGGAGGAUGCGAGCGUUAUCCGGAUUUAUUGGGUUUAAAGGGUGCGUAGGCGGACUAAUUAGUCAGCGGUGAAAUUUUGCGGCUCAACCGUAAAACUGCCGUCGAAACUGUUAGUCUUGAGUGCGGUAGAGGUAGGCGGAAUGUGUGGUGUAGCGGUGAAAUGCUUAGAUAUCACACAGAACACCGAUUGCGUAGGCAGCUUACUGGAGCGCAACUGACGCUGAGGCACGAAAGCGUGGGGAUCGAACAGGAUUAGAAACCCGGGUAGUCC